rnacentral:misc_RNA from 1 species
UUUCCGUAGGUGAACCUGCGGAAGGAUCAUUAUUGUAUAACCGAAGUGAGAGGGCUGUCGCUGAACCGGAAGGUCGUGCACACCCGAGUGCCCUCACAAACAUCCAUCUCACCCCUAUGUGCACCUCCGCAUGGGUCCCCCUUUGGCUUGUUCGGAGGGGGGCUUACGUUUUCACACAAACUUUGUAUGCAGUGUAGAAUGUAUUAUUUGUUUUUGCGAUCACGCAAUCACUACAACUUUCAACAACGGAUCUCUUGGCUCUC